GGUCCGAUGGUGUAGUUGGUUAUCACACUCGCUUCACAACCGCCAUUCCGCGUGUGCAGGAUGGCAUUUAGAUGCGUUCGCGAGAGGUCAUGAGUUCGAGCCUCGUUCGGAUCA